GACGAACGCUGGCGGCGUGCUUAACACAUGCAAGUCGAACGGAGAGGCCCUGCUUUUGUGGGGGGCUCGAGUGGCGAAGGGGAGAGUAACACGUGAGGAACCUGCCCUGGACUUUGGGAUAACUUAAGGAAACUGGGGCGAAGACAGGAUGGGAGCUCCUGGUGCAUGGGGGUGGUGGGAAAGGUUCGGCGGUUGGGGAUGGGCGGGAGUCUUACCAGGGUGUUGGUGGGGUAGUGGGUUACCAAGGCUUUGACGGGUAGCCGGCCUGAGAGGGUGACCGGCCACAUUGGGACUGCGAUACGGCCCAGACUCCUACGGGAGGCAGCAGUGGGGAAUAUUGCACGAUGGGCGGAAGCCGGAUGCAGCAACGCCGCGUGCGGGAUGACGGCCUUCGGGUUGUAAACCGCUUUCGCCUGUGACGAAGCGUGAGUGACGGUAAUGGGUAAAGAAGCACCGGCUAACUACGUG
rnacentral:rRNA from 1 species